GACAGAGGUGCCGAGCGUUAUGCGGAAUCACUGGGCUUAAAGCGUGUGUAGGCGGACCGUUAAGUACCUUGUGAAAUCCCACGGCUCAACCGUGGAACGGCCGGGUAUACUGGCGGUCUUGGGCCACCUAGGGGCGAGCGGAACAAGCGGUGGAGCGGUGAAAUGCGUAGAUAUCGCGUGGAACGUCGACGGUGAAAACAGCUCGCUGGGGGUGUGCCGACGCUGAGACACGAAAGCCAGGGGAGCGAACGGG
rnacentral:rRNA from 1 species